rnacentral:rRNA from 1 species
CUAGCCCAAACAACCCACUGGCUAAGCUGUCACAGCGCCAAUCAAUCCAAGACAUUUGCCAAUACAUUAAAGUAUGGGAGAUAGAAAUUUUUACUUGGAGCUAUAGAGAAAGUACCGUAAGGGAAAGAUGAAAGAAAUCUCUAAAGUAAUAGACAGCAAAGAUUAACCCUUUUACCUUUUGCAUAAUGAGCUAGCCAGAACCACCUUAGCAAAGAGACCUUAAGUUAACUUCCCCGAAACCAGACGAGCUACCCAUAAACAACCCACCGGGGUAAACUCAUCUAUGUUGCAAAAUAGUGAGAAGAUUUAUAGGUAGAGGUGAAAAGCCUACCGAGCCUGGUGAUAGCUGGUUGCCCAGAAUAGAAUUUCAGUUCGACUUUAAAUUUACCUAACAAACUUCGAAUUUCAAUGUAAAUUUAAAAUAUAGUCUAAAAAGGUACAGCUUUUUAGAUAAGGAUACAGCCUUGAUUAGAGAGUAAAAUAUUAUAAAA